rnacentral:piRNA from 1 species
UUUUAAAAAAAUGUAAGGAAUUGUUAAGG